GGCUCCAGUGCGGAAACCGGAGGGGUCCUAAUGACUAGAGGUAGGAGCUUGCACUUUUCAAGAUUUCUAAAUGCAUAAAACGGAGUAGGUGACAUGAAGAACUCAGAAAAUGAAGAGACGUUAAAUCUUUAUCCUGACCUAAGAUGUUGAGAAACUGCCAGAUGGAUCCCUUGCUUCACUUGAUCCUUGGAUCAUUCGUACACCUGCCACUCCUGCUGGUACUUGCCACUGGCAUUCCGCUGUCUAAGAGGACUGCCAAGGUAAUUUGGAAUCAUAUGGUGUUUCAAAGUCAUUAUUAUGAACUCUGGCAAGCAGUUAGAGCACCAUUGUAUCAGUCAGAAGACAAGAGUUCUAGACCCAAGUUGGCCAACUAGCAAGGUGACUAGGUCAAAGAUGCCUUGAAGGUGCAAUGGUAGAAUCCCAGGGCAUUUCAGGAUCCUCUCGUUCUCAAAGUGGCCCCUUAUUCUGUAUUCUCCCAAGAAUAGUGCUUUCAAAUGCUUUAAAAAUUUUGUGUUGUGUUUCUGAACCUUAGCCAUUACUUUGCUUUUGUAAGAAAAUGACUGGGCGUCUGUUUAAACAAACAAACAAACAAACAAACAAAAAACAGCUCUGAAAGUCAAAGGAAAUUCCAUCAUUCCAAGGGUUUCUUAUGAAGGGAACACUGUUGGGGCCAAGAAGGGGUUAACCCUGAGUCACUCUCCUCCCACCUCUUCUCUCAGCCUCCCAGAUACCAUACAGCUGUUGAAAAGUAUCUGUCAACAAAACUAUUACUGUCUUUCCUGGGAUCAACACUAUGUCCUGGACCCUCAAGGUCAGCAGAGCUGCCUUUAGAGCAAGGAGAGGCGACAGGCAGAAAGCUUGCAAAAGCAGUGAAACCCCAAGUGACACUGGCAGGUGGAGGGCUUUCCCCAACUGCUGCGAAUUCUAGAGGGAAAGGUAGGGCUCAAAGGGGAAAGGCUGCCCAACAAGAUAAAGACAUAUUUCCACACCCUAAAAACCCUUUUCUGGAACAGCCUGAGUCCUUCCUCUCCCUUUCUCCCUUCUUGUCCCAGCUCAUGCAUGGUUCAGUUAGGAGAAAGAGUUGUUGUGAAGAAUAAGUGACUAGACGUAGUAUAAUAAAAUAUUGGCUAAUGGUUAAAAAACAGCUACUAUUUGUCUGCCGCGUUAAGUCCUUUAUAUGUAUCUACUUCGUGAAAGAACAAAAAGACAGAAACACCCUGCAAAGUUGAAUCUGUCCUUUUACAGACAAGGAAACCAGUUAGGAGAGGUUAAGUAACUUAAAGUUGUUGAACUAGUAGAUGGUGAAGUCAGAGUUUGAACCAAAGUCUAACUCUUACACCCGUGCAUUUAAUUACUGAGUGUGUUU